rnacentral:lncRNA from 1 species
CACCUCAUGCGUGUGUUCAUUGCAUCAUUAUGGUGUCCACUUGGAUUGUCAUAUUAAUAAUUGUAAAGGUGAAAUAGGUAUAAAAAUGGAUAUGAAGUAAUGCCAAGUUAAAAGUGAAUUUUGUUAGACUGAAUAUUUUUUCGUGGUAUUGUGCUCCAGUGAUUUGAAAAUUUGCUAUGCACCAUUAUUGUAUUAGAAAGAUGCAGAGUAUUAGCCUUACAUAACUCUCUUCUAUGUGUUCUUGCACCUCCGGAUCGCUGUUUUUGGCCUAGGACCAUUUACAUGUCAAACAUGACAUUUAUGUGUCAAUUAAAUAUUUUCCAUUACUGUUCUUUUUUUUUUUUGCAACUUUGAGUUGUUCCAUCCCACCCAUGUAUGGUCUGAAGAGAAUAAUUUUUAAUUUGGCUGCUCUUAUUCAGAAAAGUUCAUCACCAUCUGCUGCUGUUUGUGUGCUUGAUUUAUGUCAUUUUGUCAAGUGGCAUUAGCCACAUCAUAUCUACCUUCUAAAUAGCCACAUUGCUUUAUGGAAUGGAUGCAAAGUAGCUGAAUGGAACCCACAGGUGUAGUUUUUAUGGCGAGUUUUACAAGGUUUUACAUUUAUUCUAUGGGUCGUGGUUGAUAUAGUUUUGGUGUUCUGAGUGUAACCUUUGUUUGUGCCUUUCUUUUACCGGACUAUGUUAUAGAAAGAGUCAAGAUACUUCAACAAUGGUAGCCCAAUGGGGUAGUUCCUAAGUAUGUUUUGUUUAUCAAAAAAGAAGUUUCUGAAGUAUUGCUGGGAGAGAUGGCCAGACUGCUGGACCACCCUACGAGAAAUCAAUGGCAUGAAUGUGCUUACUUCUACAGACUUUGUGGCAUAAGCAAAAAUACUUAGACAUGUCUUGCCUCCCUCCGAAAGAAACCACAACUAUGAUUUACCAUCUCAAGUUUACCCUUCCAUUGUAGCAGACCAACAUGUCCUUGUUUCUUUAAUUGAUUUCUCAUUUCAUGUUUGCACUUCUAUUAACAGAACAACAUGUCAUAAACGUGGUGCUGGGCAAACAGAAGAGAUGUUGUACAGAGUGACUUCAUAACUGAAGAAUAGACAAACGUUGUGCAAGGCAUUUUUGUUUAGUUCCUUUCAAAAAAGAAGGAAUUACAGUGCAUCUGACCUGUAAAGGAGUGUGACGGACAAAAUGCUAUGAAUCAGAGGAGUGGGAGGGAAGAGUUUACCAACAACUUUUGAAGGGACAAAGUGUGACCUGGAUUCCAGAAACAAAAUGUGACCUGGAUUCCUAAGUUAUAGCCAACAUAGCAAAAUUGUAUAGAGAAUGCCCGCAUUUUGGAAACUCUACAUAGUUUGAGGCUACGUUCCUUUCAAUUUUUAGCAUUAUUAAAAAAUCCUUAUUAUUGCUAUUUUCAUGCAUUUAUUUUCAAAUAACUCUCGG